AUUGAACGCUGGCGGCAUGCCUUACACAUGCAAGUCGAACGGCAGCACGGGAGCAAUCCUGGUGGCGAGUGGCGAACGGGUGAGUAAAGUAUCGGAACGUGCCCAGUCGUGGGGGAUAACGUAGCGAAAGUUACGCUAAUACCGCAUACGAUCUAUGGAUGAAAGCGGGGGAUCGCAAGACCUCGCGCGAUUGGAGCGGCCGAUAUCAGAUUAGGUAGUUGGUGGGGUAAAGGCUCACCAAGCCGACGAUCUGUAGCUGGUCUGAGAGGACGACCAGCCACACUGGGACUGAGACACGGCCCAGGCUCCUACGGGAGGCAGCAGUGGGGAAUUUUGGACAAUGGGCGAAAGCCUGAUCCAGCCAUGCCGCGUGCAGGAUGAAGGCCUUCGGGUUGUAAACUGCUUUUGUACGGAACGAAAAGGUUUGGCCUAAUAAGCUGAGCUCAUGACGGUACCGUAAGAAUAAGCACCGGCUAACUACGUGCCAGCAGCAGCCGUAA
rnacentral:rRNA from 1 species